AUUUUGGGGAGACCAGCUGGGCCUGCGUCCUUCCCCUGUCCCAGCCCUUUCUUUUGCCCCUCCCAGUUCUUAAAGCCCUUCGAUCUUCUGAUCGCAAGCGUCCAACGAAGAAUGGGAAGCUCGCAGUCCAAGUCCGGCCCUCUCCUCUUCUGGUCAUCAUAUCAUAGGUCACGCAGCAGUGAGCUUAGACCUGUGUUCUAUAUGAUCCCUGUCAGUCGUCAGUGGAUAGGGAUAGCAGCAGCAGCAGCAGCGGCAGCAGUGGCCUGAGUUUGAGAGUAUGAAGAAGCAACAACUGGAAGAAUCUUUAAAGCAGCCAGCAGUUGAUGAUGUUGACUGCGGAAAAGAAGCUGUCACAUAGCAGCCAUGCAUGAACCGACCAACCUGCCGUAGAGAAGAAUCAUAGGAAAAUAAUAAGCCAGCAUUAAUGGAAGAAAUUAAACAGUUCCAGGUCUAAAAGAUGAAGUGCAGCAGAAUCACAAGUGCUGAAACACCAAAUCCUAUUGUCGAAGGUGCGAAACAGUCUGCAAACAAAAUGGUGGAGGUUGCUGAAUUUAUAGAAAAAGGUAUAUAAAAAUGCCAAAAAUUGGCAAAUACAAAAACCAUGAGUUCAUCACAUCCUUCUCUCCUCUAUAUCAUGAUGAUUCGAGCUUCGUCUUCGAAAGAAGAAGGUAAAGGUAAGCCUUUGUUUCAGGUACACAGUACUUGUCCUCUAGUUCAUUAAUCCCAUUACCCAUCUCUCUCUCUCUCUCUCUCUCUUUAUGUAAUAUAUAUAUAUAUAUAUAUAUAUAUAUAUAAAUAUCAUAGGUCUCACAAAUAGGUGGAUCCCAUACAUUGAGUAGCCAUCUCCAUCAGCCACAAGGACAGUAGCUUCAAUCAGAUUACUGUCCAUGGAAGAAAGGCAAUGCAGUUGCUCCACAAGUCGUGCCCUAACAACAGGGCAUCUCUAGUGGAGGACCAUCUUUCACAUGGUGCAAUGACCAUGGCAGUAGCAAUCACAUGAUUAGCUCCUGUAACCAGCGAGGUAAGUAUUGAUUGACAUACAGAUACCAUACAUCUGUGCGGAUGAUGAUUUUUAGGACCGAAUUGGUUUGGAAGAAUGAGAUGCCGAGUGCAAAGUUUCUGACAUUUGCCAUGCACGUACGUAUUCAUGCAUAUGUUGAGGACGGGGUUACGUACCUCAUGAUGUGUACGUAACAUUUUAUGUUUAUAUUGGUGGGAAGAAGAAACUUGUCUGUGUUUUUUCUCUCCAAUCUGAUUCCUUUUCAUGUGUUUUUUCUUAUGGUUUUGGCUGGUCAAUAUGUACUCACUUUCCCAUUUAUAUAUUAAUCUUUUCUCUC